rnacentral:rRNA from 1 species
GAUGAACGCUGACAGAAUGCUUAACACAUGCAAGUCAACUUGAACUUCGGUUUGGGUGGCGGACGGGUGAGUAACGCGUAAAGAACUUGCCUCACAGAUAGGGACAACAUUUGGAAACGAAUGCUAAUACCUGAUAUUAUGAUUUUAGGGCAUCCUAGAAUUAUGAAAGCUAUAUGCACUGUGAGAGAGCUUUGCGUCCCAUUAGCUAGUUGGAGAGGUAACGGCUCACCAAGGCGAUGAUGGGUAGCCGGCCUGAGAGGGUGAACGGCCACAAGGGGACUGAGACACGGCCCUUACUCCUACGGGAGGCAGCAGUGGGGAAUAUUGGACAAUGGACCAAGAGUCUGAUCCAGCAAUUCUGUGUGCAUGAUGAAGUUUUUCGGAAUGUAAAGUGCUUUCAGUUGGGAA